UGCGUAGGCGGAACUUUAAGUCAGUGGUGAAAUCCUGCGGCUCAACCGUAGAACUGCCAUUGAUACUGAAGUUCUUGAAUGCAGUUGAGGUAGGCGGAAUGUGUAAUGUAGCGGUGAAAUGCUUAGAUAUUACACAGAACACCGAUUCGAAGGCAGCUUGCUAAACUGUGAUUGACGCUGAUGCACGAAAGCGUGGGGAGCGAACAGGAUUAGAUACCCUGGUAGUCC
rnacentral:rRNA from 1 species